rnacentral:rRNA from 1 species
GAUGAACGCUGGCGGCGUGCUUAACACAUGCAAGUCGAACGGUGAAGCAGAGCUUGCUCUGUGGAUCAGUGGCGAACGGGUGAGUAACACGUGAGCAACCUGCCCCUGACUCUGGGAUAAGCGCUGGAAACGGCGUCUAAUACUGGAUACGAGCUGCGACCGCAUGGUCAGCAGUUGGAAAGAUUUUUCGGUCUGGGAUGGGCUCACGGCCUAUCAGCUUGUUGGUGAGGUAAUGGCUCACCAAGGCGUCGACGGGUAGCCGGCCUGAGAGGGUGACCGGCCACACUGGGACUGAGACACGGCCCAGACUCCUACGGGAGGCAGCAGUGGGGAAUAUUGCACAAUGGGCGAAAGCCUGAUGCAGCAACGCCGCGUGAGGGAUGACGGCCUUCGGGUUGUAAACCUCUUUUAGCAGGGAAGAAGCGAAAGUGACGGUACCUGCAGAAAAAGCGCCGGCUAACUACGUG